GGUUCUGUCCUCACUUGGGGAGGGAAUCGUACAAUGGGGACCUGGAUCUUAGUUUCCAUCUUAAAAUUCUGCUUUGCCACAAAGUACAAAGUAAAGAUGAGAGAAAAAUGUUGCAAAGGCUGAUUGAGGAGUGACCUUUGCCUUGAUUUAUGACAGACGUUUGGGUAUGGAGAGAUGGAGACUACUAUUAAGCAGAUCCCUCUAAAAGAUCUGAAUGGGAACACUUGAUCCUAUGUCCUUUAGCUGGCUCAUGGCAGGAUUUUACAAAUAGAAUUGUUCAAUCUCUCUGUUCAGAUUACUCUCCACUCUACCAUGCUGCUUGCUCCUUUUGGUCUCCCUUUCGUUUGGCCUGUAAUGUGGAUGUGUUCUUUGUUUAAUGAGAUGAGCAUUAUAAUAAAGUCCUAGGGCAUUUGAA
rnacentral:lncRNA from 10 species